rnacentral:snoRNA from 1 species
AGUGGCAAAUGAUGUGUAUUUAAAAUCUUAUCCUACACACUGAAUCAUGGUGUGGACCAUUAACUCCGCUUAUUAUCUGAUGCCCUC